ACUGAGGGAAACGCAUCUAUAAUACUAAAAUUACGAGGUCUAAUUUGUCAGCCGUCAUCACGUAAAAACGACGAAUCACAGAAUUCAACUUUAUAUAUAACUUAUAUAGUACAAAGAUGUAGAUUAAAAAUUACACCACUCCAGGCCCUUUUGUUUUCCACGUAAUGAAUAUUGCCAAUAAUUAAGAAAUUCCGGGUCGAGUCCGCUACCGAUACCAAUAGUAUAUUCACCUGUUACCUAUUACCUUAUCUGUACGUUCCGCAUCUGACAGGCGCACCACCAAACGUUGUAUUCAGGAUUAAUAUGCUAUAUACACAGGUCAUAACCACAGGGUUGACACUACUAAAUUGUCAAAUUGUUACCUAUUGUAGUAUUUUAAUCAGUAAGACUUUCUAAGAUAACAAUACGAAUACUAAAAAUCUGGACUAAAAAUAAGGCGUAUAGGUACAGUUUUCAAUUUGUUAGUGGGCAUGACGUAAAACAGCGACGCAAAGAAUUCAACUUUAUUUAUAACUUAUAUAGGACAAUGCUGUUGAUUAAAAAAUACUCCAUUCCAGGAC
rnacentral:lncRNA from 1 species